rnacentral:rRNA from 1 species
GAUGAACGCUGGCGGCGUGCUUAAUACAUGCAAGUCGAACGGAGACGUUAUAGCAAUAUGAUGUCUUAGUGGCGAACGGGUGAAUAACGCGUUGGUGACCUGCCCCGAAGAGGGGGAUAACAGCUCGAAAGGGCUGCUAAUACCCCAUGUGGUCGCGAAGGUUAGAGGCUUUGCGAUUAAAGGAGUAAUCCACUUCGGGAGGGGCCUGCGUCCCAUCAGCUAGUUGGUAGGGUAAAAGCCUACCAAGGCGACGACGGGUAGGGGACCUGAGAGGGUGACCCCCCACACUGGCACUGAAACACGGGCCAGACACCUACGGGUGGCAGCAGUAGGGAAUAUUGCACAAUGGGCGAGAGCCUGAUGCAGCAACGCCGCGUGCGCGAUGAAGGCCUUCGGGUCGUAAAGCGCUUUUUGGGGAGAUGAGGAAGGACAGUAUCCCCAGAAUAAGGUUCGGCUAACUACGUGCCAGCCGCCGCCGUAAGAC